AGUGAACGCUGGCGGUAGGCCUAACACAUGCAAGUCGAACGGCAGCACAGUAAGAGCUUGCUUUUACGGGUGGCGAGUGGCGGACGGGUGAGGAAUACAUCGGAAUCUACUUUUUCGUGGGGGAUAACGUAGGGAAACUUACGCUAAUAUCGCAUACGACCUACGGGUGAAAGCAGGGGAGCUUCGGACCUUUCGUGCAUGAAUGAGCCGAUGUGCGUUUAGUUAGUUGGGGGGGUAAAGGCCCACCAAGCUGAGGAUCCGUAGCUGGCCUGAGUGGAUGGCCGGCACCACUGGAACGAGACCACGGUCAGGCUUCCUACGGGGGGAACCAGAGGGGAAUAUUGGACAAGGGGGGCAAGCUUGAUCCAGCCAGACCGGGUGGGUGAGGAAGGCCUUGGGGUUGAAAAGUCCUUUUGUUGUGAAGAAAAAGCAGCAGGUUAGAACGCCGAUGUUCUGACGGUACCCUAAGAAUAAGCACCGGCUAACUACGUG
rnacentral:rRNA from 1 species